CAGGUUUACCUGUGUGACUGCGUACCUUUUGUAUAAUGGGUCAGCGACUUAUAUUCUGUAGCAAGGUUAACCGAAUAGGGGAGCCGGAGGGAAACCGAGUCUUAAUUGGGCGUUAAGUUGCAGGGUAUAGACCCGAAACCCGGUGAUCUAGCCAUGGGCAGGUUGAAGGUUGGGUAACACUAACUGGAGGACCGAACCGACUAAUGUUGAAAAAUUAGCGGAUGACCUGUGGCUGGGGGUGAAAGGCCAAUCAAACCGGGAGAUAGCUGGUUCUCCCCGAAAGCUAUUUAGGUAGCGCCUCGUGAAUUCAUCUCCGGGGGUAGAGCACUGUUUCGGCUAGGGGGCCAUCCCGGCUUACCAACCCGAUGCAAACUGCGAAUACCGGAGAAUGUUAUCACGGGAGACACACGGCGGGUGCUAACGUCCGUCGUGAAGAGGGAAACAACCCAGACCGCCAGCUAAGGUCCCAAAGUCAUGGUUAAGUGGGAAACGAUGUGGGAAGGCCCAGACAGCCAGGAUGUUGGCUUAGAAGCAGCCAUCAUUUAAAGAAAGCGUAAUAGCUCACUGGUCGAGUCGGCCUGCGCGGAAGAUGUAACGGGGCUAAACCAU
rnacentral:rRNA from 11 species